UUUUUUAAAACUCGUAUCAUCAUAUGACUACCUGGCAGUUACUUCAUCAAGUCUCCACUGAUACACAUUUCAAUUGCUUCUAGACUUUUGCUAUUGUGAACAGCACCACCAUCAAUAUUUGUUUUUUCAUUGUCCUCCAAUCUUAUUUUGCAAACAGGCGUACAUGGGCAGGCAUUCUUCUUGGAUAUAUACCAAAGAUGUCUGGGCUUUCAAGUGCAUAAAUAUUUUAAUUUUCAUUGUUUAGAAAAUAAAACUAUUUCCAAAACUGGUUUACUAAUGUAUACUUCCACCAGUGAUAUAUCAAGACACCAUAGAUACACAUCUUCUCCAACAUUGUUAUUCCAGAUUUCAUAUUCUUAAAUAUACAAUAGGCAGAAAAUGGCAUCAUAUGGCUAUCUUGAUUAGAAUCUUCGUGAUCAAUAAUGUUAUGGCCUAUCAUAUGUUUAUUGAUCACAUGUGUUUUCAUUUCUGCAAAAUAUCUACUUAUAUCUUUUGGCAGUUUUCCAUUGAAUUAUUAGCAUUUUCUUAUUCAUUUUUAAGAGUUCUUUAUGUGUUCUUGACACUAAUACUUUGCUAGCUGUGUACAAUUAUCCAAGUUUGUAACAUAGCUUCUGGCUUAGUUAUGGUAGCAUUUUAAGAAUUCUCUUAAUAUAAUUAAAUGCAACAUUUCCUGUUAUAACCAAUCUUAUAUGAACAUGUAUUACUUGAAUCUAAUAAUGUUCAUUUAUAUUUUUAGCCACGUUUUCUGACAUUUUUACAUAAAUGAUUAAUUUUUGGUGUCAAUAUAUGAGUUAUUCAGUUUUUUUCAUAUGGUUUUCAGGUUCAUUUGUGGAAUAGCCCCUUCCCUGUCAGACUGAUAUGGCAUGGCAAUUUUGUUAUAUAAUGAAGUUCCACACAAGCAUGGUUCUGCUUCUCAGCAUUCUGACUGUUUCUGCACCUAUGCCACACUGAGUAACCAAAGCUCAAGAGUUAAGUCAUCUGGUUUAACAGUUCUGGAGGCUGGGAAGUGCAAGACCAAGAUAUGAACAGAUUCAUUAUCUGGUACAGAUACCCUGUGUAUUUUUGGCCUCAUAUGAAGAAGGAAAUGUUUUUGAAAAUUUACAUGUGUGCAUUUAUCAUCAUAAAUACAUUUAAUUCGCUGUAAAGACAUAGCCAGAAAGAUAAUUAGCUAUCUGAUAAUUAUAAGGUGCUGGUUAGAAAAUAGGUACUUACUUUAAAUAAAAUUGUUAUACUAAACUAUCUGGCUUUACCUGCCCUUUAAUGCCUUUUGAGAAUGUCAAGAUCUGCAGAAACAUAGAUUUAUUUAAAUUAAUUCUGAAAUAGCAAAGCAUUUGCAGUGGUUUUGGUAAUUCUCUAGCUCAGAUGUAUAAGCUUAGAUUUUUAUAUACAUCCACUGAACGUUUUUCAUUGUGUAUGAGAUCAAAGAUUCUUAAUCAUACUCCAAAUUGGACACUGCUAGCUAAUUGGGUAGUUAUAAUACCAUUUAGUUCAUUUCUUAAUGGAAAGUUGGAAUAAACAUAGCAGAAGUGUAGUUAAUGUUAUAAAGGAUGAUUCUCUGUAUGUAUUUCUCAAUUUUGAUGAGAUAAGAUGAGCCCAUCUUAUCCAAAGCACUUAAUGGCUUCUUAAAGAUAUCCUUGAUUACUCAAAUACACAAGGCAUUCUUAUUGGAAACCGUAUCAAAGUAAAU